CCUACGGGUGGCAGCAGUGAGGAAUAUUGGUCAAUGGCCGCAGGGCUGAACCAGCCAAGUCGCGUGAGGGAUGACGGUCCUAUGGAUUGUAAACCUCUUUUGUCAGGGAGCAAAGGGCGCCACGUGUGGCGUUUUGCGAGUACCUGAAGAAAAAGCCCCGGCUAACUACGGUCCAGCAGCCGCGGUAGUACGUAGGGGGCAAGCGUUAUCCGGAUUUACUGGGUGUAAAGUGAGGGUAGACGGCUGUGCAAGUCUGAAGUGAAAGCCCGUGGCUCAACCGCGGAACUGCUUUGGAAACUGUAUAGCGUGAGUACUGGAGAGGCAGGCGGAAUUCCUAGUGUAGCGGUGAAAUGCGUAGAUAUUAGGAGGAACACCAGUGGCGAAGGCGGCCUGCUGGACAGAAACUGACGUUGAGGCUCGAAAGCGUGGGGAGCAAACAGGAUUAGAUACCCCAGUAGUC
rnacentral:rRNA from 1 species